rnacentral:rRNA from 1 species
CCUACGGGAGGCAGCAGUGAGGAAUAUUGGUCAAUGGUCGGGAGACUGACCCAGCCAAGCCGCGUGAGGGAUGAAGGUACACUGUAUUGUAAACCUCUUUUGUCGGAGAACAAAGGCGGGGACGUGUCCCCGUCUGAGUGUAUCUGAAGAAAAAGCAUCGGCUAACUCCGUGCCAGCAGCCGCGGUAAUACGGAGGAUGCGAGCGUUAUCCGGAUUUAUUGGGUUUAAAGGGUGCGCAGGCGGUCUGUUAAGUCAGCGGUAAAAUCCCGGGGCUCAACCCCGGCCCGCCGUUGAAACUGGCAGUCUCGAGUGGGAGAGAAGUAUGCGGAAUGCGCGGUGUAGCGGUGAAAUGCAUAGAUAUCGCGCAGAACUCCGAUUGCGAAGGCAGCGGGCCGGCUCCACACUGACGCUGAGGCACGAAAGCGUGGGUAUCGAACAGGAUUAGAUACCCGGGUAGUC